GCAGGCCAGGACUAGUUCCACGGCCCUGAGCAUGCGUUAGCCCCUUCUUGCCUCCAUGCCUCAGUUUACCUCGGAGUGAGCUGCGGGAGACGUCUCCCUGCCUGGCCGGGGCGGCUCUGUCGUAGCGGAGGGCAGCGGUGGUGCAGAGCCGGAGCCGGAGCCGUGCCGCGCCGCACCAUGGCACCCACCCUGGCAACUGCCCAUCGGCGCCGCUGGUGGAUGGCCUGCACGGCCGUGCUGGAAAACCUCCUCUUCUCGGCAGUCCUCCUGGGCUGGGGCUCGCUGCUCAUCAUGCUCAAGUCGGAGGGCUUUUACUCCUACCUGUGUACCGAGCCAGAGAACGUCACCAAUGGCACAGUGGGCAGCACAGCAGAACCGGGGCACGAGGAGGCGAGCUGGAUGAACGGCUGGCUCAGCUGCCAGGCCCAGGACGAGAUGCUAAAUUUGGCCUUCACUGUGGGCUCCUUUCUGCUCAGUGCCAUCACCCUGCCCCUGGGUAUCGUCAUGGACAAGUAUGGCCCGAGGAAGCUCAGGCUGCUGGGCAGCGCCUGCUUUGCGGUUUCCUGCUUGCUGAUUGCGUAUGGAGCAAGUAAACCAAACGCUCUCUCCGUGCUCAUCUUCAUCGCCCUGGCUCUGAAUGGCUUUGGUGGGAUGUGUAUGACCUUCACCUCAUUAACACUGCCCAACAUGUUCGGCGACCUUCGGUCCACGUUUAUUGCCUUGAUGAUUGGGUCCUACGCCUCCUCGGCAGUCACCUUUCCAGGAAUCAAGCUCAUCUACGAUGCUGGUGUCUCCUUCAUCAUCAUCCUCGUGGUCUGGGCCGGCUGUUCCGGGCUGGUUUUCCUCAACUGCUUCUUUAACUGGCCCCUGGAGCCCUUCCCGGGGCCGGAGGACAUGGACUACUCGGUGAAGGUCAAGUUCAGCUGGCUGGGCUUCGACCACAAGAUCACAGGGAAGCAGUUCUACAAGCAGGUGACCACGGUGGGCCGGCGCCUGAGCGUGGGCAGCUCCAUGAGGAGUGCCAAGGAGCAGGUGGUACUGCAGGAGGGCCACAAGCUAUGCCUGUCCACCGUCGACCUGGAGGUGAAGUGCCAGCCGGAUGCCGCAGCGGCCCCCUCCUUCAUGCACAGCGUGUUCAGCCCCAUCCUGCUGCUCAGCCUCAUCACCAUGUGCGUCACACAGCUGCGGCUCAUCUUCUACAUGGGGGCCAUGAACAACAUCCUCAAGUUCCUGGUCAGCGGCGACCAGAAGACAGUUGGCCUCUACACCUCCAUCUUUGGCGUGCUCCAGCUGCUGUGCCUGCUGACGGCCCCCGUCAUCGGCUACAUCAUGGACUGGAGGCUGAAGGAGUGUGAAGACGCCUCCGAGGAGCCCGAGGAGAAAGACGCCAACCAGUGCGUAGGCAGGGCCUGUGCCCUGGUUCCCAGCCCGCAGCCCCUGCAGAAAGACCCCAGAGCUGCAUGUCAGGCACAGGGUGGGUGGGUCAGAGGGAGAGAGCAAUGCACUCCAGCUCCUCCCGGAGCCCUUAGAGAGACUCACUCAUUCAGCUCAGCAUGCAUUUCAACUGCUCCCCUCUUUAUGGAAAUUCUUUGGAAUUCUAUGGAAAUGCUAAAGUUUGAGGCCAGGUGCGGUGACUCAUGCCUGUAAUCCCAGCACUUUGAAAGGCUGGGGUAGGAAGAUCACUCGAGGCCAGGAGUUGGAGACCAGUCUGGGAAACAUGGCCAGCCCCGACUCCCCGUCUCUACAAAAAAAUUUAAAAAUUGGCCAGGGAUGGUGGUUCAUGCCUAUAAUACCAACACUUUGGAAGGUUGAGGUGAAUGAAUUGCUUGAGCCCAGGAGUUAGUGACCAGCCUGGACAAUGUGAUGAAACCCCGUCUCUACUAAAAAUACAAAAAAUUAGCCAGGUGCGGUGGCGGCGUGCGCGCCUGUGAUCCCAGCUACUCAGGAGGCUGAGGCAUGAGAAUUGCUUGAACCCGGGAGGUGGAGGUUGCAGUGAGCCGAGAUCACGCCAUUGCACUUCCAGCCUGGGCAACAGAGCGAGACUCUGUCUCAAAAAGAAAAAACAAAAAA
rnacentral:sRNA from 1 species